rnacentral:lncRNA from 1 species
AUUAUUUCAGCUUUUACAAUAGUUAAUGUACUCAAAAGACAAAUCAAUACAUUUUUAUUUGGCUACAUAAUAAUUUCUCAACACCUUGUGUGUGUGCGGGUAUUGUACAUUUAAAAUUAUUCCAAAUUUAAAGAUUUACAAGUUGGAAAGCACUUUAAAUAAAAGAGCUAGAGGAUACUCAAAGCCCCGUAGCAUAACAUCUUUACCUUGUCUCCCCUAACUUGUAUCUCUGAAAAAUAGAAGUCUAAUUGUACCUGCAAAUUCCUUACAGGCAGCCCCCGAUUAUAGCACCACGAGGAGAACAAUGUUAGCAUUAUUGAUGCAGAGCAAGAAAUUGAAGAAAAAUUAAUUAGAUUUAAAUUUAUAAUAUUUAGGAAUAUUUUAAUUAAUUUGUAUUCUACUUUAAUUUGGUUUCCUAUUUAGAGUUUUAUUGUUUAGGCAUUGCUUAUUUGAGUAAUAUUCCUAAUUUAGGUAUAAGUCUUAUUAAAAUAGGUUUUCUAAUCAAAUUAGGAUAAGUCUCUUAGUUAGUAUAAAUAAGUGUCUUUUGUAUCUUUUGGAGCAUAUAUGUUCGAUUUCAAUAAUAUUUUCAAUUUUCAAAUCUCUUUGUGAGUAUUUGAGUUUAGUUAAUUCUCGGUAUUCUACGGAAUCAACGAGUCUUAACCCCUAAAUUCGCGGUAUUCUUUUGAAUCAACGUGAAUUUAGUUGUUCUUUUGUUCCGGUAUUCUCUA